ACAAGAUUAUGAAAAUGAGUGUAUGAGAUGUGUUUAAAAAUGAUAAUUGUUUUCGUAUGUAAAUAAUUUGAGAUCAAGAAUAAAUUAAAGUGGGAGAAAUAUGAUCUAAUUGUUGAAUUAGUGGGGGACAACUGCUUUAAUUGUUUAUUACACGUGUGAUCAUGAAAGUGAGCCAACUUAUGACUCAUAUUAAUGCUAUAUGCAUUUAACCGUGGCUUAUCUAUAGCCAAGCUUUGUUUUUAAUUUUAAAAAAAAAAAGUGCUGAAUAGGAGAGACCACAAUCAAUUAAUUAAGUCUUGAGAUUUCGUUUUAGAUAAGUUUAACAAAUAUGGGCAGCAACAUUCCAAUAUAUUUAAAGGCUAUACGUACAGAUUUCCUCUCCUCUUAAUUGAAGUUUCUUAGGAGCUACAAAGGCAGCAACAAUGAUCCUUAACGAAAUAUGAAGAACAAACAUACGGGUUUUACUCACCUUUUCGAUCCGUUCCGUUUUGCCGUGUUGUUGACUCCGAGCUUUCAAGUAAGAAGAAGAUUAUUUUUUUUUUGCCAUAUUAGGCUAAAAGAGCGACGAGACGAACGGGUUACGAAUAGCCGCUAACAGGUACAGACGACAGAUUUGCUGAUCCGCUUGCUUAGGACUAUAUUCUGCUAUCUUGGAGUGCUCUAUUGUUCAGAGCCUACGUUUUGGUACAAUCUUUUGCCAUUGUACAUAUGUAUGCUAUUCAGGGGUACGACGGGGCCCUGUCCCGUCUUAUGAUUCUGAUGUGUUCUGUAGAGGUCUGUAGACAUACAUGUGGGUUCUGUAUAUGUUUUGAGUUGAUAUGAUCUGUGAUAGCCUUAUCGGCUUCCACGUGCUA